GUCACUUGCAAUGUUGAUCCUGGAACAACAUUUAGUAUGAUGAUCUGGGAACAACACCAACACGAGGAAAUCAGAUCAACCUAUGCAGUAACCACGCUAACUACGGCUGGAUCGACGCAGGGGUGAUUCUCAAGUCUGUUGGAGCCCAGGCAAAAAGGGACAGGGACACCUGACAGCCCAGUGUGCCCAGCAGAGCUGACAUGAGGGCUGUUUCAACUGAAUCACACACUCUGCUUGCCAGAGGUGAUCCAGGUGUUUUGUUUCUUUUUCUUUUUGUUCCUUCCCCCCUUUCUCAUCAUCUCUUCUCCCCUCUGUUUUUCUUUCUCUCCCUCUUUCUUUCAUUCUUUCCUUCUCCCUGUCCUUUCCCCCAGUCAUGUCUGUCCCGUCUGUAACAACUGAUAAUAAAAUAAAAUAAAUACACAAUUAUAAUAAAGGUCAAUCAAAUGGACCAACAUGGCAUCUUUCUCGGCCUUCAAACAACAAUUCUGAUGGCUAAAGAUCCAAAUGGGACAGGCAAAUAAAUAAAUAAAUAAAUGAUGAUAACCAUGUGCAGCUUCUCUCGUCUUCCAUUUUUCCCUGAUGUGUUUCACUCAACAUCAGACAUGUGUUAAAGUGUGUUGGCUGCAUAUUAAGUUCAAAAUGCUGAUGAGCUCUGAUCCAGUUGACUGAUAUACUCUGCUCUACAUCCUGCACUGAAAUAU
ensembl:lncRNA